AUUGAACGCUGGCGGCAGGCCUAACACAUGCAAGUCGAGCGGACGAGUGGAGCUUGCUCCAUGAUUCAGCGGCGGACGGGUGAGUAAUGCCUAGGAAUCUGCCUGGUAGUGGGGGACAACGUUUCGAAAGGAACGCUAAUACCGCAUACGUCCUACGGGAGAAAGCAGGGGACCUUCGGGCCUUGCGCUAUCAGAUGAGCCUAGGUCGGAUUAGCUAGUUGGUGAGGUAAAGGCUCACCAAGGCGACGAUCCGUAACUGGUCUGAGAGGAUGGACAGUUACACUGGAACUGAGACACGGGCCAGACUCCUACGGGAGGCAGCAGUGGGGAAUAUUGGACAAUGGGCGAAAGCCUGAUCCAGCCAUGCCGCGUGUGUGAAGAAGGUCUUCGGAUUGUAAAGCACUUUAAGUUGGGAGGAAGGGCAGUAAGUUAAUACCUUGCUGUUUUGACGUUACCGACAGAAUAAGCACCGGCUAACUUCGUGCCAGCAGCCGCCGUAAUAC
rnacentral:rRNA from 1 species